UUAGAUUCUAUUCAUUAUACCAUGGGUGUCACGCUUCGUGUAACACCCCUAUACCAUGUUCGACUUAAGGAACCUGAUAUAGGAAUAUUACAUUUGGUACCAAAUUAAUUCUUGGCUAAUUACUAAUAUAAUUGAACAUAAAAAAAAUACUUGGAACAUACCUAAUAUUUUUCCUAAGUACAUGCCAUUCUAAUCAAAAACUUUAAAAUAUACCAUGUUGUUGCUUGAAGAUGUGAUGAGAUGAAAACUUGC
rnacentral:lncRNA from 1 species